rnacentral:rRNA from 1 species
CUCAGAUUGAACGCUGGCGGCAGGCCUAACACAUGCAAGUCGAGCGGAUGAAGGGAGCUUGCUCCUGGAUUCAGCGGCGGACGGGUGAGUAAUGCCUAGGAAUCUGCCUGGUAGUGGGGGAUAACGUCCGGAAACGGGCGCUAAUACCGCAUACGUCCUGAGGGAGAAAGUGGGGGAUCUUCGGACCUCACGCUAUCAGAUGAGCCUAGGUCGGAUUAGCUAGUUGGUGGGGUAAAGGCCUACCAAGGCGACGAUCCGUAACUGGUCUGAGAGGAUGAUCAGUCACACUGGAACUGAGACACGGUCCAGACUCCUACGGGAGGCAGCAGUGGGGAAUAUUGGACAAUGGGCGAAAGCCUGAUCCAGCCAUGCCGCGUGUGUGAAGAAGGUCUUCGGAUUGUAAAGCACUUUAAGUUGGGAGGAAGGGCAGUAAGUUAAUACCUUGCUGUUUUGACGUUACCAACAGAAUAAGCACCGGCUAACUUCGUGCCAGCAGCCGCGGUAAUACGAAGGGUGCAAGCGUUAAUCGGAAUUACUGGGCGUAAAGCGCGCGUAGGUGGUUCAGCAAGUUGGAUGUGAAAUCCCCGGGCUCAACCUGGGAACUGCAUCCAAAACUACUGAGCUAGAGUACGGUAGAGGGUGGUGGAAUUUCCUGUGUAGCGGUGAAAUGCGUAGAUAUAGGAAGGAACACCAGUGGCGAAGGCGACCACCUGGACUGAUACUGACACUGAGGUGCGAAAGCGUGGGGAGCAAACAGGAUUAGAUACCCUGGUAGUCCACGCCGUAAACGAUGUCGACUAGCCGUUGGGAUCCUUGAGAUCUUAGUGGCGCAGCUAACGCGAUAAGUCGACCGCCUGGGGAGUACGGCCGCAAGGUUAAAACUCAAAUGAAUUGACGGGGGCCCGCCGAGCGGUGGAGCGUGUGGUUU